ACCUGUUUAUAUUUCAUGCCACAGUCUUGUCCUCAGUCCUUUGUUUUAUUUUCCUAGUCAUGUCAUGCAUUUUUUAACAUCCCUGGUUCACAGCUUCAGCCUGUUUCUGCUCAKUGUUUUYCCYCCUCCCAUCACCAGUUCACCACAGCCCCGCCUUCAUGCAAUCAGCUUCAUGCAACUCACCAGUUCCCAGUAUAAAGCCUUGUCAUCAACUCUCAGUCUCUGCCAGAUUUUCAUGUGCUCUUGCUAUGAACUUCCCGCAUUCUUGUACCUUGUCCCUCGUUUGUCCUGGUUCCCUGAUCCUGCUCAUGCUCCUCGGUUUAAUGAUCUCUGCCUUUGCCCUCGUCGGAUUCCUCCUGUCAUCUGCUUACCUGGUAACGACUCCUGCUUCACUUCCUGGUUUUUCGGCUCUUGGAUUUUCCCUCAUCGGCGCGACGCUUCAUCUGAUUACACGGCUCUCGACCCCUGCUCAUUUUACGGACCCACGACUCAAGCCUGCUCCACUAAGUCUGGUAAUUCUUUUGAUUCUGAUCCUCGCUCAUCCCUGGACCCAGUUCUUGUCUGUUGGACUCAAACCCCAAACAAUUCUGAACGGAGACGACACCACACGGGCUCGGACCCUGUCAACUCAAAUCAGUGUUUGUGUAUGGAACACCCACACGAACACCAGAAGUUCCAGUCCAACUCGAUGUCCUGAUCCAGAACCACACCAAAGCCUUGCACAUUAACAAUAAAAUCUGUAAAACUGUU